rnacentral:lncRNA from 1 species
UAAAUAGGCAGAGCUAAGACUUAGGGGACUGGCAGAUUAUUGCAAAAAGGGCACGGGGCAGAGGGACUAUGUUGUGAGCCUGCGAAAGAAGUUUGUGUGGGGACUGUGGGCAGUGAAUGCGUUGGGAACAAUAUGGAAAACUGGGAGCUGCCUUGGAAUCUACAGGGCCGGGCUGAAGAAAAGAAGAAUGGUAUUCAUGCAGUUCCCAUUUUACAGAUGAAAACAAGAGGACUUUUUCUGUGAAGUCAAGAAAGUGGUUACAAUGGUACUUUCAGCCUGUCCGAAUUAUGUAUUGCCCCUCCCCUUUUUAUUAAUAACAUUGAAGUGUGAUGGGACAACCACUGAAGCCGUCUGUUGAAACCUGCUGGGACUUUUUAGCCAUUCUCUUCAACAUAAAGAAUGGGUGUUUUUGGAGGGGGUGAGAGGAAUGGGGAAAUGUUGUCAAAGAGUACAAUGUUUUAGUUGAGACAGGAGGAAUAUAUUUUGUUGAGAUCUACAGCACAGCAUGGUGACUGUAGUUAACAAUGAAGUAUUGUGUAUUUCAAAAUUGCUAAGACAAUAAAUUUCAAAUGUUCUCACCACAAAAAAGAUAGGUUUUGAGGUGAUGAAUCUAUUAA